GCCUCGGUGGAGUAGGGGUCUAGCGCGUCCUUGGUAAGGACGAGGUCGAGGGUUCAAAUCCCUCCCGGGGCU
rnacentral:tRNA from 1 species